GCGCGGUUAGCUCAGCGGUAGAGCAUCACCUUGACACGGUGGGGGUCACUGGUUCGAACCCAGUAUCGCGCACCA
rnacentral:tRNA from 1 species